GCUUUGCCGGUGAGCUUAUAAAAAUCUCCCCUUGAAGACGCGAACGGCUUAGCAUCUUAAUUUCAUACUCUCUUUACGAACGGUGUUAGCUCCGAAAUCAGAUCCUCUUCCGACUUCGACUUCCGGGAUUUAUCCUUGUGAGCUUUCAACUGAAAGACAGGAAAGCCCUUAGAAUAAGGUAAGCGACUUGCCUUACCUAUACCAGUAUCAAGAAUCGGAAUUCAUCUCGGAAGGAUGGAAAUCUUAUCCGUUUUGGUCUAAUGUGGAAGUGUUACGAUUUAGUCUAAGAAAUGGGCUUGGACUAUCGUCCUGAAGUGUUGCCUUCCUUUGAGCCCCUUUUAGGGGGUUAUCUUCUUGACGGGUAUACUGGCACAGACUUCUUAGUCUCUUUACAGGGUUUGGAUGACCCUGUGAGGGAGGGGUCGUUGUCUAAAAAGCAACGUACUCUAGAUCGGCCAUCUACAUAAGGUAAGGUAGCGUAUAGCUUAGCUAAUAGCUUCGCUACCUCACUCACGAGCUCUUUCUCAGCCCAAGGUGCUGGGUAUUUAUCCUAACGAGUGCAUUCAGUUUCAUGUCCCAUUGAAAGGACAAUCGGCGAGAUUGAAGUUCCUUUCUUUUUUCUAGGCUAAACCUUCCCUAAGCCUAAUCCCUAAUCAAGCAAAGUUUUUGUCAGGAAAGUGUUCGAGGCGGAUUCCAUAGCAACAGAGUCGUGAAAAGAGCUAAAAGCAGCCUUUCUAAAUAAAUAGUAAAACACGCAUGGAUGCUAGGAAUGAAGCCUGCCAAUGUCCCUUACAAGAAUAUCAUUAGUAGAAGAGGAUACCCACAUCUACGGCCAUUAGUUCGAUUCCCGGUUAUCUUUCUUCUAGCUUUUAGUUCUUCCUUUAAAUAAAGAUGUCCUACGUCCCCCUGUUAGUUUUGGUCCUGCCCCGUACUCAUCAAUCGCUUUGUCGGAACUCUUCCCUUACUUCAUCUCGCUUCGAUAGUAUGGCAUUCUUUAGUAACAAGCUGUAGUAACAAGAGUCACAAGGCUUGUUCAAAGAAAAACCACGUCCAGCGUGAAGAAAAAGAUUAGAAUAUAGUGCAAUCAAAGCAUGUUUAUCAUGGCACAAACCCUCUUCUAAAGAAAGAGAGGGAAGGCCAUGAAAGUCUUGCAUCUCACAUCACGUGGAAAGAAAGGAUGCUGACAAAGCUUGCUGCAAAGGAGGCUGCUGUUGAAGCGCUCAUCUUCUCGUACAUUGAAGUAACCAAUUCAGGUACUUCACGCAGCUGGUCAAUGUUGGCUCGUUCUGCCUCCGGUCUAUGGUCCAUCGAUCGAAGGGAUAUGAGUUCAGUUAGUAAUCCGUUUACGUACGGUGGGUGGGUAAGCUGGAGGGGACCCCGGUGGUAAGAAUAGGCUAAUUCCUGUUCCUUGAAUAGGCCAAAUGGGAGUCUCAAAGCUAAGAACUACCUGUUUCAGGCGUUAGAUCGUUCCAUUUUGGAGACUAUCGUCAACAAAGACACGUCAAAGAGUAUUUAGGACUCUAUGAAGCAGAAAUAUCAAGGAACAACGCGAGUAAAGCGUGCUCAUCUACAGGCAUUGCGAAAGGAGUAUGAAAUUGCUCACAUGAAGGAAGGAGAAUCUGUGAAUGAGUACAUUGCUCGUGUUCUUGUCAUCACCAACAAGAUGAAAGCCAAUGGUGAAGAAUUGAAAGAUGUUGCUGUUGUGGAAAAGAUUCUGAGGUCAAUGACACCUAAGUUCAAUUAUGUCGUCUGUUCAAUAGAAGAAUCUAAUGAUACAAGAAUUUUGUCAAUUGAUGAGCUGCAAAGCAGUUUGCUCGUGCACGAACAACGCAUGAGUAACACUAUACAUGAAGAACGUGCACUGAAGGUGACCCAUGGAAACCAAUAUGCAGGACAAGGAAGAGGACGUGGGAACAUGGAGUGCAAAGACAAACAGGAAAGAGUAUUGCAGAGGAAAGAAAGAAGGUGGAAGGAAUUCUCUGUCUAUUGAAUGAGAAAUAUUUAGGCUAUAUAUAGCCGUACAAAACAAACAGAAAAUACAAUAAAUAAGGAGUCUCCUGCUAACUAACUCCUAAACCGAAAGACCUAUUCUAAAGCAAAGAAUCCCAAAUGGAAUGGGAUUUUAUUUGACUAAAUCUAACAAUUCCUCUCUUAAACUAAAUGCUGAAAGAAUUUAGUUUAUACUGCUCUCUGCACAAACUCCAAGCAUAGUACGCAGCUUCAGAAAAGCAUCCAACUUAAGAGGCUUUGUCAUCACAUCAGCUAUCUGUUCCAAAGUAUUGCAAUGAACUAAUUCUAUCAUACCUAUCUGUGCAAGUUCUCGAAGGAAAUGGAAACGAACAUCUAUAUGCUUGCUACGACCAUGCAUAACUGGGUUUCUUGAGAGCUCGAUUGCAGAGCUAUUGUCACAAUGGAUAGUAUUUUUCUCUUGUUGAGUCUGAUCCAGCGUUUUGAGCACUCUUUUUAACCAAAUUGCUUGACAAGCACAAGCAGUAGCAGCAAUAAACUCAGCUUCGGUGGUAGACAGACUCACAAUAGGUUGUUUCUUAGAAGACCAUGAUACAGCUCCAGAACCAAAGAGAAAAACAUAGCCUGAUGUACUUCUUCUAUCAUCCAAGUCACCCGCAUAAUCACUAUCAGUGUAUGCUAUAAGAUCAUCAUUUCCUCCCUUCUUAUAGAAAAUUCCAUACUCAGUUGUUCCUUGCAAAUAUCUCAACACUCUCUUUGCUAGUUGUAAAUGAAGCUGAGUAGGAUUCUCCAUAUAUCUGCUCAAAAGACUUACUGCAAACAUCACAUCUGGACGAGUCGCAGUCAGAUACAUAAGACAGCCUACCAGUUGUUUGAAGUGAGUCUUGUCCACCUUAAUUCCUUCUUCAUCCUUGCAAAGCUUGAAACCAGGAACCAUGGGAGUUUGAACAGAUUUGCUUUGAUUCAUUUCAAAACGUUGCAACACCUCCUGAGCAUACUUUCUUUGACCGAUAAAAAUUCCACCUGAUUUCUGCAAGACUUCGAGACCCAAAAAAUAUUUCAUUUUACCAAGAUCAGUCAUAUCAAACUCAUUCUUCAUCGAGUUCUUAAACUCAGUGAACAUCAACUCAUCAUUUCCUGUGAAAAGAAGAUCGUCAACAUAUAUACUUACAAUAAGCAUGCUGCCUCCAUGUUUCGUUUAACAAAAAGGGUAUGCUCAUAAUCACAUUUUUGAAAACCUUCCUUCAUGAAGUAUGUUUCAAUACGGUUGUACCAAGCACGCGGAGCCUGUUUAAGCCCAUACAGAGCUUUCUUCAGCUUGUACACCUUUUCCUUCUUUCCCUCUUGAAUGUAACCACACGGCUGCUCAACAAAAACAUCUUCAACUAGUUCUCCAUGUAAAAAAGCAGACUUCACAUCUAAUUGAUGGAUAGCCCACCCUUUUUGUGCUGCUAGAGCGAUCACCAAACGAACAGUCUCCAUACGGGCCACUGGAGCAAACACUUCUGUGUAAUCUACACCAUAUCGCUGUGCAUAUCCUUUUACAACCAGCCUCGUCUUCAGGAUGAAAGAAGCAGCCGUAGCAUGAAAGAAAAAAGAAGUAGGGAGCGGGUGCUGGAUUCAUUUUGAUCAGUCCGGAUGGGCACGAGCUCACCUAUGCACUCCGUUUUGAGUUCAAAGCCUCAAACAACGAAGCGGAGUAUGAAGCGCUCAUUGCCGGACUGAAAUUGGCCUUGAAAAUGGGGGUAACCAAGUUACGGGCUUACAGUGACUCUCAGCUCGUAGUAAAUCAAGUAAUGGGGGGCUACGCAGCAAAAGACCUCAUGAUGAAAAGGUACCUCCAAAAAGUUCAAGAUUUGAUGGCUGAGUUUGAAGAAUUUACCAUAGACCGCAUUCCCCGAUCUCAGAAUAAAAGGGCAGACGCCCUGAGCAAGCUAGCCUCCUCUGCCUACGCACACUUGACAAGGAAAGUUUUGGUGAAAGUUCUGGCAGGGCGGAGUAUUAUUGAUGAACAUCAUGUUAACAUAAUUUCAUAAGAAGAAAAGAACUGGAUGAACCUCUUUAUUGAGUAUCUCAGUUCGGGUAAGUUGCCUGAGGCAAGGAAAAUGAAAAUCAAAGCUCCUAUGUACGUGCUGAAAAAUGGUGUUUUGUACAAGAAAUCUUAUCUCAUGCCUUGGCUAAGGUGUGUUGGGCUGAGGCUGGCAGAAUACGUGUUGAAAGAAAUUCACUUCGGCUCCUGCGGAGACCAUGUUGGAGCACGCAUGUUAGCAAAGAAGGCUAUUCGGCUUGGGUAUUACAGGCCGACCAUGUACAGAGAUGCGUAUGAGCUGGUGUUAAAAUGUGAAAAGUGCCAAGUGCAUGCACCCAUCAAGCAUGUGCCGCAAAUGGAGCUGAUUACUAUUCAAAGUGUCGGGUCGGGUCUCAGGUUCAAAAGCAGAAGACUGGUCGUAGGGACAAAGCUUCUACUUAAACAUCAAGUCGGUCUUGAUAUGAAGGGGAUAUAUCUAUGCUCAGGUGAUCCAUCAAAUCGGCCAGUGUUUUCCCUUUUACUUCCUUUCGGGGUACGUAUUGUAUAGAAAAAAAGUACCAACGUCCACUUUCCUACUCACCCUUUGGUCUGGACAACAUGUACUUAAUUAUUUCUGAACUAGAGACCAAGUAAACGUAAAGGCUGUGAAGGGAAUGGAUAGGCAUAGGUCAGAUUAGAUGUCUUGGCUACAUAUGGGAAAGGAACUGGGUAUGGGUGCUAUUGCUGAGUCUGAUAUACUGGUGCUCUUUGGCUUGGUUGGAUUGAUUGAGGCUUACUGCUUGAAAUGGGACGAGGCCUUCUUCUAGCCUGUCUAUCGUGAUUGACCUACUGCACCUCUCCUUCUCUCUUAUUCCCAUAAGUGGACUUCUUGGAGGCUUCUGUCGAGCUAUCAGCAAUUUGACUGCUCUUCACACCUUGCUCAAUCUUCUCUUCUCUCCGAUCAUCACAAGGGCAGCAAAAUGUGUGGAAAGAUUGCCAACCAUGCGAUCGUAGAAAGGAGAAGGGAGAGUAGUGAGAAAGGUGGCCACCAUCUCUUUUUCAGUCAAGGGAGGCAGGACUUGGGCAGCCAUUUCUAUCCAUCCUUGGGCAUCUUCUUUUAAAAUCUCCGUGCUCUUCUUCUCCAUGCUUUGAAGCCCCAUGCCAUCAGGAGCCGUAUCAAGAUUGUACUUGUACUGCUUGAGGUGAGGAAAGCAUCAGCAAGAUGCUUCCAUUUGCGGACAUGAGAGCGGUCCUGCUCCAUCUACCAUUUGGACGCAACGCCCGUGAGGCUGUCUUUUAUAAUAGAUACUUCAGCGGGUCCAUCCUUGCAAUCAGCAUGGUCGUAUAGUUCAACAUGUAGUGGUAUAGGCCUUUCGAGGCCCAUGUAAGAGCUAAACAGGUAUUUUCUAGAACCUUAUACCUUGCCUCAUAAUCAGUGAACUUCUUGUUGAGAUAGUAUAUGGCUCUUUCUUUCCUACCCGUUUCAUCGUGCUGACCAAGGGCACAACUCAUGGAUGCUUCCUUCACUGACAGAUACAUCAGGAGAGGUCGACCAGGCGUUAGCGGAUGGGAGGAUUGACAGUUAUGCUCAAGUCUUUCAUUAAGAUGUACCGCUAGGGAACUCUUUACCUUUUGAUAUAAGAGAAGACGCUUUCGGGCUAACUAAGGCCGAGGUGUCUCGCGGAAUCUUCAAUAAGGCGAUAGAAGGCAUUUUCCUAGAAUCUUGUUAGAACAAAGCCUUCAGUGAAGGUUUGAAGACGCUCACCCGAAACUCGGUGAGCUAACCAUAAGCGGGUUAAAUUUAGGGUAAUACCUAGUGGAGGACCGAACCCUUUCUUUAUAUAAAGUAAAGGAUUGCUUUGUUGGAUGACUUGUGGUUAGGAGUGAAAAGCUUAUCGAACUCUCCUAAUUAGGACUAGCGCAAGAGUUAUAAUAAGUGGGGAUAGAGCACUGAAUAGAGAAGGGUUCCUAACCGGGUACCACCUCUAAUCAAACUCCGAAUACCCCUUUCAGUGUCGCGAGGGAAACCUCCUUUAUAUUGCUUCUCCUUAUAGUAGCCCAAAUAGGCCUUACCUUAACCGAUAUUCUAUGAAGCAAGCAUCAUUUACAAGCUGCACAAUCUACUCGAUCAUUCCCGGUUACCCACGACAAGCGCUGUCAGGCCCACCUUCUUAGCUACCUUAGCCCAGUUCUUUAUCCUUAAAGUGGAACCCCGGAAAGUUUAUCCGCCAAUGGAAUCAGUAGCUACCAAUAACUGUUCUUUCUCCUUCCUACUACCAGAAAGUGAUUAAAGGCCUUCAUAAGCUUCUCUUUGAAGAGAAGUCUUUGCCUUAGAGUCUCGAUAUGAGAAAGAAGAGGAAGAAUCAUAAAUAAAAGGGGGAUGAUCCCCUCCAGCCUGCCCUGCCGGUUGAUUCAGUUGAAAAAGCCUUUCAUUUGCAAGAUGAAGCACCAGACCUAUAUAUAGCUGCUUUUAGGCCCCACGCAAAAGUAAUUAAUCUCCUGCCGCGGAAGAAUAAGAAGAAUCUCUUGCAUUGGACGAAGUGGAUACAGAUGGGUGCACUGACAUGGGAAAAGGUCUGUCAGCUUAAGUCAAGAAGGCUUUGUUCCUCCCUUCUUCCUUUCCUUGGGCUAUAAAUUGGUUGUGCUAAAAGAAAUCCCCCUACUCGCCGAAGGAAGAGGCAUCUCAUGCC
rnacentral:lncRNA from 1 species